UGCGGGAGCAGCCGCGGCCCCGGCCGGCAUUCCUCGUCGGAAGGGAAGGGGAGCGACAUUUGAACUCGUCAAGCGGGCUGUGUGCCCUCGGUGUAGAGUUAAAUAAUGCACUAGCUAGAGUUACCUUGCACCAGAGGUUAAGGGAAGAGCGCCGAACGGUUUUUAGCUUGAAUUUUAGCCAGUACGGCUUAAACCUUUCCCUGGCUGUCAGCGGUUACAGGAAAACAGCUUCAAUUAAUAAAGGUUAAGAUUGACCACUUCUAGUUCUUGAGGCAGCGUGACAGAUCAUGCUUGAAACGCUUAUUGUUAAAGGAAAUGUAAUGUAUAAUUUGUGUUUGUUGAAGGAAGUGAAGGAAAUAGGUAUGGGCAGUGCUGGUGAAUAAACUCCUUUCACAUACUGAGGACAACACAGCACUGUGCAUGCACAAACAGAUGGCCCCAAACACAGAAUUUCUAUUAUCAAUCCAUAUGUUGUUGAAUGAGCCAUCGCUCUGGAUAAAUUUUUGCUACAAAGUUCCUACUGAACUCAGCAUGCACUGUCUCUUCUUUUAUACCACUGAGCCAAAAAUAAAUUAUAUUCUCUGACUUCCCUACCUCUCCAGUUCUGCUAUUUGUGUCCCUCAAAAUCCCUAUCAGAUGAUUAAAAAUUGAUUCAGAUUUGAUUUGGGAAGGAAUGGCUACCUGCUGUGCCCUGACUGAAGCUGGGAAGCUCUGCUCAGCACUACAGUGCAUGUGUCCUUAUGAAGGCACAGGAAAAUAAUCCUUUUGGGGACAGUCCAGCAGAAGUACCCAGCUUCCAACCCCAGAGCCAACAUAGCCAAGAGUUAUUUUACCAGCUGAGAAAUCAGCCAGGUCAUUUCAAGGCAGAAAUUCAAGCACCUUGGAGCAAUCACUGGUUUUGAAGAGACUGCUUCUAUCAUUUAUGGUGGUACGGUAAUAUUAUAUGGGAAAAUGUGAAAUUGUGAGAGGAGUGCAGAUCAGAAUAAAGCCAAAUCGCUACAGGGUUUGAGCAGCAAUUGGCUGUAAAAUUAAUAUGGAGCAACAGUUGGAUGUUGCAAGGUUGAGCAUUAAUCCAGUGCCUGGUAGAAAAAUAAUGUAUUUAUCUAAAUUUCUGCUUCACAGUGAUUGCACUGUGUGAGCUAUUAAACAAAGCAAAAUAAAAAACCAAUUCUAAGUCCACAGAAUAUGUUUGAUGAAUAUGACAUCUUCACUCAGCUUGGAUGAAAAUGAAGUCCUGCAUGGAUGGGAACAGUGAUUAUAGCUCCGUUCCAAAUCGUUUUACAGUAGAACUUCAAUCUGGGGAGGAAAGUUGCCUUUUUAUCAAAAUUAUUUUUAUUGAGAGAAGCAGAAAUGUGUGUUGCAUAUACAUGUCUUCUUGCAUAGUGUACAUUCUGAUACAGUUAAUUCAGCCAAUUUUCUGGUAUUGUUCUCAAGAUCUGUGCCAUGGAUAUUAGAGUCCUCCAUAUGGGUACAUUUUUCCUCUGAUUUUUUCCAUUUCUUCUUCUGUAAUAACGGUAUACAUUCAACUAUUUUAAUUUAAAUUUAGGAUCAUUAAGGCUCUUCUGGAGAGUCUGGAGCUCUGCCACAGUUAGGUAGUUAGGUAUUUUAUUGUAGAAGGAGUUGCAUGUAGCUCUUAUAUUUUUAUAUUUUACCUCAAGCAUAAAAAGAGAUUAAAACUAUCUAGUUUUUAGAACUCUUACUUUGAUAUCCAAUUUAUGCAUAAAUUUUAGCUUAUUACAAGAGCUGUUGAUUUUUAGCAAGCCUUCAACUCUUGAGUGUAAAAUUUGGGGGCUGAAGCAGGCCACUUCUUCAACAUGCAUGUAUAUGUGCUGUGUUUAGAUUUGGGAAGAAUAACAUGGAAUAGUUUGAACAUCAUUUUUUCCUGGAAUAUCAAGCUAGCAUGUACUGCUGUGGUAUUGAAAAAGUUGCUGAUUAUGAUGCCAAAAGACUGUCUUACUAGGAAGUUUGAAAUAAUUUCUGAAAGAUGAAAAAACAUUCUGCCCCUCCUGGAAAUUUGUAUAUGGCAAGACUUUAGUAUCUGCACCUCGAUGGUCAUCGAUUGAUUUCUGUCAUUGAUUUCAUGGGAUGAGAGAUUUGGUCUAUUAACAGUACUGUCAGAAAGCAGGCAAUAAAAUUUCAUUUUUCCAGAGUCUUAAAAAAAAUGUAGGUUCUGUGACAUUGUAAAAUGUUUAGAAUUUAGUUAUUAAUGACAUUUUUCUUCUGAGAUUUCAGUGUGAAUGGCUUGUGAUCUGUUAGGAUUUUGGUAAAGCCUUUCAUGCUGGAAAUAAGGAUGUCAAAGCUUUCAGAUUCUGUGAACAUGCUGCACUGCACACACAGACAUGCUGUACUCAGCUCUUGAGUCUGCAAAACAGGAAUGGUGAGUGUGGAAGGAUUUCUGAACCCUUCCACUUCUUCUUGGAGCUUGGGGGUGCCUGUGUGGCUGCAGGGCCCUAAGGCACUCUCCCAAGGCUCCUCAUGGAGCCCCAGUCCCUGUCCAGUGGGAUUUCCUUCUAUGAAACAGGCUGAAGCUUUGCACAGCCAGGCAGGGACUCUGGAGCAUGCAGGAACCCAGGUCCUCUGUAACUCACCACUUUACUGGACAACUCCACAAGGUCACGGGCAAUUGCCGAGCACCCACGAGCCCAGGACAUGAGUGAGAUCCAUCCCGGAAGCAGCCAGAGGUGUCAGUAAGUGAUAGGUGUGCUCAGGGUACCUGGACUGCCUCAAGGAACCGUGUACAGAUUUGUCUUUUAGUGGGGUUAAAAGAAACUGAAGGUAGAAAUUGAGAGUUCGAUGUACUCACAGAAACCAGAGCUUUGGUCUUAGCACAGUGACAGGAGCAAAACAAUGGAGCCAAGUGAAUUCAGAUUUUACAGUCAGUAAAGCAGAGCUUUUCUGAAUGACUUUUGAUGAUUUGGAUUGCCUGAAUUCCACUUUUGGUACCUUGUGUACAUCCUGAGUGUAUAAUCUGUCUUCCAACAAAAAUGUAGGUUACAUGUCAAAGAAAUUUAGAAAAUAGCUGGAUUUCCAUUAUAGUAUGGAAGUAGUAGUAUGAUGUAGUUUGUAGUAUGUAGUAUUUCUGAUUACUAAAGUAAAAAAAAAAAUCCUGUAAUUUUCUAGUCACCUAUGUAGCUAACACCUCUGGUGGAAUGGAGCAUACCUCUUCCAGUUACAUAAAACAGGCACUCCCAAAUGUAUUGUUUUAAAAAUUUGUGAUUAACUAGUGGGGGAAUUGAAUAAUUUUCCAAUAAAAUAUGGUGAAUAUACAAAAUAAAUAGCAGUCCUAAGGAGCAAAUUGUAAUUGUCCUUGGCACUGAACUACAGUAGCAUCAAGGAAUGGGAAUAUUUAAGCUGACAAAACUAUACUACAAAAAUUUGUGAAGUUAUAUGCUUUCUUGUUCUCAUUGUUCCAUUUCACAUAUGCCUUUGCCCAUCUUAAUAGAAGGAUGCCUUCCAUACAAAAUUCAUUUUUUCAUGUAAUGAAAAUGUAAUGAUGCAUAAGAUCCACAAUACAAACCAUCACGCUUUAUUUUGUGUGUAAGCAGGAGAGUAACUCUUCAUUUCAAGAAGUAUCUUCCCAUAAAGUGUCCUUUUCAACUUUUGUUGAAACUGUUAUCCUUUUCAACUUUUACCAACAGAACAGUGUAGUCCUUUUAUUCCUUUUAGCUGUACUGUUAAGAUUUUGUUUUGCACCUUAAGACUAUGGGAAAACACAGUUACUGAAUCUCUAACUUUGCAUAUGGCCAGUAAAAGCUUACAAGUAUUCACAUUAUUGCUUUAAUAGAGACUUCUUCAGUAACUGCUCAGUGAUGCAAUAACAUUUCCAUUUAAAAAGAUAAAGAUAAGGAUAGAAUUGCUAAACAGUAACUUUACUACUUCUCAGGUUAGCAGAUGUAUCUGAAACUCAGCAACUGCUCACAAAUACUGGACCUGUAUUUAACUAGAAAUAUGCUCUUAUUUUAAAUAGAGGAAAGGACAAGUUUAAGAAGGACAAACCCCAUCAAGCUGUUCUUCAACACAGAAAUUGAAGUCACGAAGAUUUAUCUUUGUAAUCCCUGCCUCCACUUUGCUUGCCUGCCUCGUUGGGAUGUAGGCUGCCUGCUUUCUCAGUGUUCAGCACAGCUCCCACUGCCUACAGUUUGCAGUGGCACUUCUACAAAUUACACUCCUCCAUACCAAGCACCACGAAAAACAGAAUUAACAACCCCGUGUGCAAAGUGACUCGUAUCACACAGGAAAUCUGUGGCAAAGGCAGGGAUAUGACUUGGUUCCCCAGAGAUGCACUCAUGCCUUAAUCAUGAAAACGUGUUCUCUUCCCUGCAGUUGUCUGCUUCAUUCACUGUGUCCUUCCAACAGCUGCCACAGAGUACAGGUUGUGCAGAGCACAUUCACUGCUACUAUGCCGAGAUUCGUCCCCAGCCCGGGUCCUCUCUGCGCGCUACACGACACAGGAGGCCACGAACGCUCCCUCUGCCCCAAGGGAUCUCACACCGUUCCCUCUGCCUCACCACCAGCACAAUCCACCAGAGACCUUCUCCUUUUUUCUGCCUCUUAUGCCACCAGGAGAGUUGGGUGCAUGGGAGCGAUGGGAUUCCCGAUCCAAUUCCUGCAUGUAAUCAGGCCCGACUGCAGCUGCAGUGAGCGGCAGGAUCAGGGAAAACUGUUUUGAACGCCAGUAGCCCCAGGGCUGGAGCGUGCCCAGAUGUUUCAUGGAAUGGCUCUGGCAGACCAGUCACACACAGGUGUUUAUUGGCUUGAAGUAAAAGUCAGGAAUACCAGGAAUAAUUCAUCCACCACUUGGCUCUUCAAGCAGACCAGGAACGAGCACAACGUGCAAAUGGAAACGGCAGAUAACGGCGGCUCUGAGCUGACACACACACACUGCACCCACGGAGCUGCUUGCAGGGUGAACUCUUUGUUUUCCUGGAACGAACUCAUUUUAGUUAUGAAAACUGAUUAUGCAUAUUGUGAAAGGCAUGCAGCCAAGCAACUGUAAAACUUUGUUUUUCACUAAUAUCUAUCAAUUUUAGGAACAAAACAUGCUGCUGCUAAAUGCAAGCACAAGUCGGCUUAGAAAUGUGAUUUGCUGUUUACUUUCUCUUCAUGUUUAAAAGCUAUUCCAAAGCAAAACAGACCUAACCAGAUCAGAAGUAGCAUUGUGUACUUAGCCUAAAUAUACUGAUUUUCACACUAAAAUGACUUUGAGGAGCAAAGACUUGCUGCAUGUGGCAAAUCAAAGGAGAAAUGCAUGAAACUUUCCCUGAGAGGUUUGCUACUCCGCACGGCAGAAGCUCUGCUCAGCCUCUCCGUGACCUGGGCUCUGCACGAUUUAUUGGUUAUCUUUAAUAAAGCGAAAUCCAAGCGCCUUUUCUGUUUUGUUACUUCCAUUUUAACACCAGCAGUAGCAGACAGACAGACAAAGUUUAGUUUUAGCCUGGGAGCGAAAAUAAAUACUUCUAACAUACAUAUGUGCUGUUACAGUCUGACUUAUAAAUGCUCAGUAGUAAAGUCAGCAGGAAUUGAGCACUAAAACUGGAGAAGAGUAAAUGGAAAGAGAUCCUGCUGUAUUUGCAGACUUGUGGUAAUAAGGAAAGCACUCCUGACUGCUCUUGGAAACUUGUCAUGUAAGUGAAUAAGGGGAGAGGUCAGGCAGUGACAGACUGCUCUGCCAGCCUGAAAUGGGGGGUUGCAUCAAAUCUAAGAAACCAAAAACAUGCAUUUAACUUAAAAUGAAUGUUAUUAAAACAAAUUAUACCCAUCAUUCAGAAAUGUAAUGUGAAAGUACCGUAACUCCUGGCUUCUGUUCAGAUGAUGUCUGGCUGUGUAUCAUCCACAAAGUAUCUUCCUGAAUCCCCGGCACCCUGGCUUCAGGAACUGCUCUAAAUCUUACCAAAUUCUGAUGAUUCUGAUGUCAUUUUCUAAGCUUAAAGUAUUCUUGCAAGUGACAUCAAUCAUGACUCAACCUGGCCUCUCCUGCCAUUAUGACAAAGGCUUCUAUUUUUAAUUUUUCAGACAAAUACAGCUUGUAUAACUUUUUUUUCUUUUUUUUGCCAAAAAUAUGUCAGUUCAAAUCUUGCUAUUCCAAGCAUAUUCUGUUCUUUUGGGAUACUUGUCAGCUGGCCUAUUUAUAUCAGGUUUGUAAGAAAUUAUAUGUUUUUCUAGAAGCAAAAUAGCAAACUUGGAGAACAGAGCUUCCACCUUGCAUUAUUAAUAGAAUUUGUGAAAAUCUGUGGUUAUAUUGUCAAGAAGCAUAGAGACUAAUUGCGCAGAGCCAACAAUUCACUCAGCGUGGUGGUUAAAAUGCAUAAAUGGAUAAAAAUGAUUUGUGUUAGUGCCUGCAGCCUCUUGUAAAUGUCAAAUACUUUCUUGACAUUCUAAAACCCAGGCUGUACAGCGAAAGGGGGAGAGCAGCAUUUCAUAUUAAUUUGAAAAUGUAUAAAACUGAUUAUCCCCUUCUAGCACUCAGUAUUUCACUGCUUCAUGAAGACCUUAGAUGCUGAUUGUAACUGGCUAUACUCUUUCAACUCAUCAUGGCUCUCAUUUUUCUUCCAGCAGAGCAAUGAAUAUUUUACUUGAGAUAAAUAAAUAAGGUUUUACUUCCUGUGAAAGAAGAUAUUUAAAGAGAUUCCACACAACCAGUUUUCCCAGUUGGAGAAAGUUGUAAAUGUUCAUUUCCUCUAUUUCCCGUGCAUGGCAGUCUUGUCAUUCCUGUGAACUUACUGUUCUUCUUUUGUAAAUCCCCAUCCCAUGCAUUUAUCUCCAUGUAUGUCAGUACUGUCAUUUCAGCUUUAUACCGUUCACUUUAAUCAUCUCACAAGGUUCAAAGGACACCUGGACAUAUCCUCAUCCCCAUUUUAGUCUUACAACAUUCACUAAAAGUUCCAGGAUAAAGGAUUUAUGAUAUUUCCUUGGAUCAAAACAUUUGUGUCCUUACCAUACAUCCAUCAGACUUUACUUUUUAUACUCUGCUAAAGUAGAAUGAUGCACAGGUAUAAUUGAACUGACAGAAGUGUUUGUAUUUUUCUAGAACAGAUCACUUGUAUUUUGUACAACUGACACUUUACUCAUCGUUCUCAUUAGUACCCACAUUUAUUUCCAAAGAAUUGUGAAAUGAAAUCAUCAAAAAGCUACCAGCUGCAUAAGUCUUCUGAAGUCUCUGAGUCUGUCUUACACAUUACAAAAACAUGCAAGGCUGAGGGCUUAGAGAUAGUCCAAAAAAAAAAAAAAGAAUUGAAAAGGAAUAUCCAGGUGGUUUUUUAACUGCAAGAUACAAUAAAGUAGAGUUUGGAAAGUAUUACACAGAAACAUAAUAACAAAAACCCCCAAGAUACACCAUUUACAAGUCGAGCUGUACAGUGCUGUGCCUUUGUGUGAGCUGAAAUCAGUAAAGCAGACAGAGCUCACUCCACAGGGUUUGUGAACUUGUGACAGCUCCGAAUGUACAAACGUACAACUGGCAGCCUACAGGCUGCUGAGCAACUAGAAAAUCUUUCACAGCUUAAGGUUAACUAAGGUUAAUUAUUCCAAAACACUCUUUUGUAGAUUUCAGUAAUAAUUGCCUUCAGUAACAGUAAUGAAUUGCUGCCUCCAUUUUGAAUGCACUUGGGAAAUUACUUAAAAACAUGUACAAGAUUUAUCAUGAACACACUGUAGGUGUAAAAGAAAUGAAAUGCUGAAAAGACAGCUGAGCAGCAAAGGGCAGGGCCAUCUAAUGCAGUCCCACAAUUUCCAUUAAAUAAUUUAGACAAAAAGUCAAUAGAUUUAUCAGCCGCACGUAUUUACGACCACGUUUGAUGGGACUCUGAUGCAUUUGUAUUGAAGUUUGCUCCCAGAUACUCAUCUCAGAUACUAAUCCAAAGAUAAUAACCAGACAACUCUCAUACAUUUGAUUACUUGCUGAAAUAUUUAUCAUCUUUCCUGAUUGCAUCUUAUCUCAAAGCCAGACCCAGAGCCCAGAGAAGUAAUCAGCUUGAUUCCAGGGUAAGAGCUGCCAGCCUCAUUGUGAGGAGUGUUACAGAAGUCAAAGGGACCACACAUGAAAUGAGGCACUAAGGUUCAACUGUAAAAGUCUGCAAGACCUGGCAUUAGAUUACAAGGUCUUGAGAGCAAAGGCAUUCCUGAUUUCCCAGGCAUGGAAAGACAAGAGGUGAAACUCUGAUACUGUUAAAAUAAAAAUAAAACUUUUCUAAUGUCACUAGCACUGCAUGUUUAUUGUGUUCAUCCACUGCCAUCUCAUCUGUGCCACGCUGUUAAACUGCAGGAACAAGCCUGUGAGCAUCUGUGGUACAGAUGAAAGUCAUUUGAGGCUAACUACAGGAGGAGUUCCUACUAUCACUCCUUUAGGGAUUGAAGUGGUGUCAGCUCUCUGCUGAUAUUUCACCCUUGUCCCAAGCACAUGAUAGAGAAAGCAGCAGCAGCCAUUAGGUACUCACAGUGAAACAAUCCAGACUAAGCACUUUCCAAUAGCACAAAAUGAGGCAAUUUACCAGGAAGAGAGGGAGUUGCAUUAGCAUGAAAAAUUCUAAGUUAUUCACAAGAUGCUAAAAGAGAAGAAAGAAUCAUCAAUCCUGACCACUGGAACCGUGAGGACCCAUAAGGAUUUUACAUGACGCUCAUGAGCCCAAGCCAAGUUACCACUGCUGUAAGUGGAGCUGAGAGGGGAGCAGAGCAGUAGCACUGGCUCCCUGCAGAGCUCCCUCAGAUUUGGAAUCUGGCCUCUUGUGUCUUCCACUUACACUUUGUGACAGACAAAUUAGUGUACUGGGAGUGACCCAGGAGUUCCUGCAGAAAAUCUGAGCAUGAGUAUCUCACUGGGGGUACUUAAAGGUGAUUGCAGGGACAAUAACAACAAAUGUAUAAAUGCACCACAUUCUGCCAAUACCAAGAAGAGUUAACACCAGACACCACCACCCCUCUGGUACAAAAUAGGUAAAUAUAAGGAGGUUCAGGAUUAAAAGUGCAACCAUCUUGUCAGCAACCACACCUGUCUUGGCACUUGUUGGGCUCCAGCAGACUCUCUAGUGUAGGCAGGUUUUAAUACCACUUUCAGAAGGUCAUUUCUGGAGACCACAAAUUCAAGAGCUACGUUCAGUGACACCGGGAAGGGGAAGCACAUGCAGAGUCUGCCGUGAGGUAGUCAAGGACCACACACUGGAAAGUGUACCUGACACAGGAGUAAUGCAACAGCUCCCUGCUAAAUGCAGGGAAGUGAAA